rnacentral:rRNA from 1 species
GACGAACGCUGGCGGCGUGCUUAACACAUGCAAGUCGAACGGUGAAGGGACCGGUUUUUGCUGGUUCUGGAUGAGUGGCGAACGGGUGAGUAACACGUGAGUAACCUGCCCCCUUCUUCUGGAUAACCGCAUGAAAGUGUGGCUAAUACGGGAUAUUCUGCGCCUGCUGCAUGGUGGGUGUGGGAAAGAUAUUGUUUCGGUGGGGGAUGGGCUCGCGGCCUAUCAGCUUGUUGGUGGGAUGAUGGCCUACCAAGGCGGUGACGGGUAGCCGGCCUGAGAGGGUGGACGGUCACACUGGGACUGAGACACGGCCCAGACUCCUACGGGAGGCAGCAGUGGGGAAUAUUGCACAAUGGGCGCAAGCCUGAUGCAGCGACGCCGCGUGAGGGAUGGAGGCCUGCGGGUUGUAAACCUCUUUCGCCAGUGAAGCAGGCCUGUCCCUUUUGUGGGUGGGUUGACGGUAGCUGGAUAAGAAGCGCCGGCUAACUACGUG